GACAAAGCAACGUUCAGGAGCGCGGAGUCUCUAGCCCAUGUUGGAUGAGUUCUUGCAGGAUGGCAGCUACCGCAGCACGGGGAGAAGGCAGCAGCUGUGUGCACGUCUCCUGAGCUGAGGACUUGGUAGGAACCAGGAGUCGUACAAGACUUCUGCCAUGUUUCAAAAUCAAACGGACAGAGCAAACGUGUGCCAACUCCUGAUGUAAAUUUAAGGACGGGACAUUUAGCAGCACCCAAAACAUGUUCAUCACGCAGAUGCCUGCCAAGGUGGAAAAAUGCUUCUCGGUCUUUCUCGUGAAGGACUUGCCAGAUUCCCCUGAAGAGCCAGGGUAACAUUUCCUGGACAGCACCCAACCUGCCACCCGAACCAGCAUUCACAUAGUUCUUCGCUGUAAUAUGCCUCUCAGCAUCCAGGUUGGGUUGAACUAGAGAUUUUAAGAGGGCCCCAGAGACAUCUUAUGCUCCUCCUCUGAAAUCCCGUGCUGCACUGGCUUUGAGGAGAUGAGGUACCAGCAGGCCACAGCGCUGGGGAUGAGCACCUCAUCCAGCAGAUACAAAAAGAAGCCGAGUAGUGCCACCCAGAAUGGCUUCCCACGACUUUAUGCAAACAUCGGCCGCUGAAGCUCACCCUGGGCCUCACGGGGUGAUGUCAUGCACAGAAUGUUCCGGCUGAGCGACGCGAUCGGCACAGCUGGGACAUGCCGUGGCCCGUGAGGUGUACAAGCCGCCUCCAAGCGCUACCUGACAAUUGUGGGUUUUUUCUCUGCAUGGAAAAGAGACUCAGCAACUCAACAGAGGUCUCUCCCUCCUCGCUUGUCACACUUGGAGGUAGAGAUCUCGACUGCUGGACAGGCUGCAAGGC